rnacentral:rRNA from 1 species
AACGAACGCUGGCGGCAUGCCUAACACAUGCAAGUCGAACGAGACCUUCGGGUCUAGUGGCGCACGGGUGCGUAACGCGUGGGAACCUGCCUUUAGGUUCGGAAUAACUCAGAGAAAUUUGAGCUAAUACCGGAUGAUGUCUUCGGACCAAAGAUUUAUCGCCUUUAGAUGGGCCCGCGUAAGAUUAGCUAGUUGGUGGGUAAAGGCCUACCAAGGCGACGAUCCAUAGCUGGUCUGAGAGGAUGAUCAGCCACACUGGGACUGAGACACGGCCCAGACUCCUACGGAGGCAGCAGUGGGGAAUAUUGGACAAUGGGCGAAAGACCUGAUCCAGCAAUGCCGCGUGAGUGAUGAAGGCCUUAGGGUUGUAAAGCUCUUUUACCCGAGAUGAUAAUGACAGUAUCGGGAGAAUAAGCUCCGGCUAACUCCGUGCCAGCAGCCGCGGUAAAGUGACUACUG